rnacentral:rRNA from 1 species
UAAGGAAUCUUCCACAAUGGGCGAAAGCCUGAUGGAGCAACGCCGCGUGCAGGAUGAAGGCCCUCGGGUCGUAAACUGCUUUUAUGAGUGAAGAAUAUGACGGUAACUCAUGAAUAAGCACCGGCUAACUACGUGCCAGCAGCCGCGGUCAUACGUAGGGUGCAAGUAUUAUCCGGAGUGACUGGGCGUAAAGAGUUGCGUAGGCGGUUAGUAAAGCGAAUAGUGAAACCUGGUGGCUCAACCAUACAGACUAUUAUUCGAACUCACUAACUCGAGAGUGGUAGAGGUAACUGGAAUUUCUUGUGUAGGAGUGAAAUCCGUAGAUAUAAGAAGGAACACCAAUGGCGUAGGCAGGUUACUGGACCAUUUCUGACGCUAAGGCACGAAAGCGUGGGGAGCGAACC